rnacentral:rRNA from 1 species
UACGUAGGUCCCGAGCGUUGUCCGGAUUUAUUGGGCGUAAAGCGAGUGCAGGUGGUUUAUUAAGUCUGGUGUAAAAGGCGGUGGCUCAACCAUUGUAUGCAUUGGAAACUGGUAGACUUGAGUGCAGGAGAGGAGAGUGGAAUUCCAUGUGUAGCGGUGAAAUGCGUAGAUAUAUGGAGGAACACCGGUGGCGAAAGCGGCUCUCUGGCCUGUAACUGACACUGAGGCUCGAAAGCGUGGGGAGCAAACAGG